AACAUGCAAGCAGUCAAGUGUUCCUGGCUGUGUAGCAGAUGGUGCCAUCCUGAAAAUGUUAAUCGCUAUCUCAGUGAUUAGUGUGCUCUUGAUAUUUUUACUGGCUGUUACAUGGGCAAGAAAGUACCGCACUUUGACUUACACAAUACGAGAGCUGCAUGGCACCGGGAAUCUAUUGACCAGACGUCCACCGUCCACACCUCCAGUGUCCCCCUUUCUACACCCGUUAUCUGUAUUAGUCGCACGUGACUCCCAGGAUCCCAUCUCAACUGACAGCCUGCAUGGACGCCCCGGACGCUCAGCCGCGAGUAGGACGAACGCAGCAACUGUC